GUUAUCCGGAAUUAUUGGGCGUAAAGAGCUCGUAGGCGGUUUGUCGCGUCUGCCGUGAAAGUCCGGGGCUCAACUCCGGAUCUGCGGUGGGUACGGGCAGACUAGAGUGAUGUAGGGGAGACUGGAAUUCCUGGUGUAGCGGUGAAAUGCGCAGAUAUCAGGAGGAACACCGAUGGCGAAGGCAGGUCUCUGGGCAGUAACUGACGCUGAGGAGCGAAAGCGUGGGGAGCGAACAGG
rnacentral:rRNA from 1 species